rnacentral:rRNA from 1 species
GACGAACGCUGGCGGCGUGCUUAACACAUGCAAGUCGAACGGAAAGGCCCUGCUUUUGUGGGGUGCUCGAGUGGCGAACGGGUGAGUAACACGUGAGUAACCUGCCCUUGACUUUGGGAUAACUUCAGGAAACUGGGGCUAAUACCGGAUAGGAGCUCCUGCUGCAUGGUGGGGGUUGGAAAGUUUCGGCGGUUGGGGAUGGACUCGCGGCUUAUCAGCUUGUUGGUGGGGUAGUGGCUUACCAAGGCUUUGACGGGUAGCCGGCCUGAGAGGGUGACCGGCCACAUUGGGACUGAGAUACGGCCCAGACUCCUACGGGAGGCAGCAGUGGGGAAUAUUGCACAAUGGGCGGAAGCCUGAUGCAGCAACGCCGCGUGUGGGAUGGCGGCCUUCGGGUUGUAAACCGCUUUCGCCUGUGACGAAGCGUGAGUGACGGUAAUGGGUAAAGAAGCACCGGCUAACUACGUG